UUUUUCAUAUGUGGCGCAAAGUGAACCGAAUUUUCAUUUAUUUGGUUUUAUCAUGUGCGUUUCAGCUACAUCUGCAAGAGCUCUCAAGUCGGUCUUACAAGGAAUUUUGCUUUCUUCUGAAGGAGAGAGACUGAAUUCCAUGAACCUCCUCCUGUACAUGGCUCCUAUAGCUGUUGUGUUUCUACUUCAUGCAACACUCAUUAUGGAAGAAAACAUGAUUGGUAUCACCUUGUCUUUGCCCGAGAUGAUAUCAAGAUCAUUUGGUAUCUCUUAUUCAAUUCGGCACUAGCAUAUUUUUGUAAAUUUAACCAACUUUUUGGUCACGAAACACACCAGCGCCCUCACUUUACAGGUUCUAGGAAACGCGAAAGGAACUGUCGCUGUGGUGGUUUCGAUUUUAAUUUUUAGAAAUCCAGUGUCCGUUACUGGAAUGCUUGGUUAUACACUCACAGUCUUUGGGGUUUUACUCUAUGGUGAAGCCAAGAAACGAAGUAGCAAAUGAGACAUCAUCCUGCUGACAGGGUAUGCAUGCAACCGUUCGUAUAAUUUGUUUCCUUGUGAGGACAGUGACAACAUCCAAUUAGGCAAGUCGGGGUCGU